UUCAACCUGAGAGUUUGAUCCUGGCUCAGAACGAACGCUGGCGGCAGGCCUAAUACAUGCAAGUCGAACGUGAAGCCACCUUCGGGUGGUGGAAAGUGGCAGACGGGUGAGUAACACGUGGGAACAUACCCUUUGGUACGGAACAACUCCGGGAAACUGGAGCUAAUACCGUAUGUGCCCUUCGGGGGAAAGAUUUAUCGCCAAAGGAUUGGCCCGCGUCUGAUUAGCUUGUUGGUGGGGUAACGGCCUACCAAGGCGACGAUCAGUAGCUGGUCUGAGAGGAUGAUCAGCCACACUGGGACUGAGACACGGCCCAGACUCCUACGGGAGGCAGCAGUAGGGAAUAUUGGACAAUGG
rnacentral:rRNA from 1 species